rnacentral:lncRNA from 1 species
UCUCUCUCUCUCUCUAGAUAUAUAUAUAUGUGUGUGUGUAUAUAUAUAUAUAUCACCUUAAACUCACUUUACAAAUUGGGGACAACAUCUACUGGAAAAACAAAGAAUCAUUAGAGAAAUAACAUUUAGGCAUUCUUUAUCACCUUUACUUUCACAGUGAUCCGGAUAAAUAAAUAAAGGACCAGCUCCUAGUUAUGAUACAUCAGGUAAAAUGUGGCUGUUCCCGACACUCCUGGUAAUGCUGUCAUCUCGUGAGACUUUUCCCUUCAGUUGAAAUUCUCCGAGUGGGAGGAACCAAGCCUAGGAGCAAGUACAACAAAUCAACAGAACAGGAACAAGAAAGAAAUCCUUAGACUUCAAACAGUCACUGGCAUUUCAGGUAUGAAGACGAGCACUGUUGAAAGACUUUUCCUGGAAAUAGGAAUCUGUGGAACUUACCUCAUGACUAUUGCCUCCUUUGGAUAAGAUAAAAUUCAUUUGGCAA